ACACUUUAAUGUACAAAUCAAUACAAUAAAAUCUUUGCUGGAAACCGUUGUUAGUAACUAACAUGCAACAAGAUAUGAAAGCCAUGUUCUUUAAAUUUGUAUUACAAGCAACCAACUUUAGUUCUUCUUGGGCCACAUAAACUUAUUCUACAGCAAUGACUGCAGCAAAAGCUUUACUAUCCUCAUUUCCAUCCAUUUUUCCCCAUCAAUCCCUUAUCUCCAGUAGGAGAACUGGAGUUGUCAGAGCAAGUAGAGCAAAGUUGUCAGAAUCAAAUGCCAGGAAAGCAAAUCUAUCUGCCAGAAAGAAAGAAAGGAUUCUAGUGCCAAGUUAUAGCAAGAUAGGUGCGGGCCAUAUAAGUGAAUUUCUGAAUCAUCCUUCUGGUGUUGAAGCAAUACUGAAUACAAGGUCCUUGCAAAGUUUUCAAUCCCUUGAUUCAAAUUUGUACAGGUGCAUCCUGCCACAAAUUCAACUUCUGAACUUUGAGGUUGCCCCUGUGCUGGACUUACUAGUGAGGUCAACUGAAGAAGAUUGCAUGGUUGAACUGUUGUCCUGCAAGUUUGAAGGCUCAGAACUUUUGGAGAGGCAGAAUGAUCGCUUUUCAGCAUCUAUGAGAAAUCACAUAACCUGGGAAACAGUGGAUUCCAAGUCCUUUCUGGAUGUUGAUGUGAAGUUGAAUAUCUCUCUUGAGAUCUAUACUUACCCAUUCAUAUUGCUUCCAGAAUCAACUGUUGAGGGUCCAGGAAAUUUAAUGAUGCAAGCCCUAGUGGACAGACUAGUACCGUUGCAUGUACAACAACUGCUGCAAGAUUAUGAUAAAUGGGUUCGUAGGCAGCAGAAAGUCUUGCAAUGAAAAGUGGUCUCCAGAGUUCAUUCUCAGACCUAAUUGGAGGUUCGCUCAAAUCUGCACUUUUGGUAGCACCUUGCGGAAUAUUAUCCCACAGCAGCUGCAUAACUAUUCAAUGGGCACCUUUAACAAGGCUAGAUAUUCUAUUUUCAUCUUUGCAGUGUAUAGCAACAUUUCAGUUUCCCUUACUGUGGCUUUCUUUUCUACUUCCAGAAGAUUAGGCAGAUUUACGAUAAGUUAAACCAGCACAAAGCUCAGCAUCAUCUGAACACAUAUCCCAUUCAAGACUCCUGUAUGGCAGGGCCCUUGGAUAUGUGUACACAACAGCCUUCGGGAAGUGUUCCAUCAAGUCAGUGACGUCUGUGUCACUUGUAGAUGUGAAAAAUGUACUUUGCUGCAUUAUGAUGUAUUAAUAACUUUUGAAGAGCAACCCCUUUGGAAGUUGGAAGUAUAGACCAGCAGGGUCCCUGGCAUUUGAGACUCUUAUCUUGAACUCGUGACUAUUUGUGAUCUCAUCAUUGGAAUUAUUCUUCAUUCCUUUUCCUUGUUAAUGCAAUAAUUUAUGAGUGUUUGGAUCA